UACGUAGGUGGCAAGCGUUGUCCGGAUUUACUGGGCGUAAAGAGCGCGCAGGCGGUCGUCCAAGUCGCGUGUGAAAGCCCCCGGCUCAACUGGGGAGGGUCACGCGAUACUGGUCGACUCGAAGGCAGGAGAGGGUAGUGGAAUUCCCGGUGUAGUGGUGAAAUGCGUAGAUAUCCGGAGGAACACCAGCGGCGAAGGCGGCGUCCUGGACUGGUACUGACGCUCAGGAGCGAAAGCGUGGGGAGCGAUCCGG
rnacentral:rRNA from 1 species